rnacentral:rRNA from 1 species
GACGAACGCUGGCGGCGUGCUUAACACAUGCAAGUCGAACGGAAAGGCCCUGCUUUUGUGGGGUGCUCGAGUGGCGAACGGGUGAGUAACACGUGAGUAACCUGCCCUUGACUUUGGGAUAACUUCAGGAAACUGGGGCUAAUACCGGAUAGGAGCUCCUGCUGCAUGGUGGGGGUUGGAAAGUUUCGGCGGUUGGGGAUGGACUCGCGGCUUAUCAGCUUGUUGGUGGGGUAGUGGCUUACCAAGGCUUUGACGGGUAGCCGGCCUGAGAGGGUGACCGGCCACACUGGGACUGAGAUACGGCCCAGACUCCUACGGGAGGCAGCAGUGGGGAAUAUUGCACAAUGGGCGGAAGCCUGAUGCAGCAACGCCGCGUGCGGGAUGACGGCCUUCGGGUUGUAAACCGCUUUCGCCUGUGACGAAGCGUGAGUGACGGUGAUGGGUAAAGAAGCACCGGCUAACUACGUG